rnacentral:rRNA from 1 species
GGACUACUCGGGUAUCUAAUCCCGUUCGCUCCCCUGGCUUUCGUGUCUCAGCGUCAGCACAUCCCCAGCUACCUGUUUUCACCAUUGGCGUUCCAAAUGAUAUCUACGCAUUUCACCGCUCCACCAUUUGUUCCGGUAGCCCCUAGAUGGCUCAAGACGACCAGUAUACCCAGCCGUUCCACGGUUAAGCCGUGGGAUUUCACAAGGUACUUAGAAGUCCGCCUACACACGCUUUAAGCCCAGUGAUUCCGCCUAACGCUCGGCACCUCUGUCUUACCGCGGCUGCUGGCAC